rnacentral:sRNA from 12 species
GGCUUCCCAGAUUUUGUCCCGUCGUAGAUGGUAGGCAGUCAAAAUUCGUGAUUGAAUGGUUAGUAAAGCUACACCUGGGUGACCGAACACUAUUGUUUGAAUGACUGUA